rnacentral:rRNA from 1 species
CCUACGGGAGGCAGCAGUGAGGAAUAUUGGUCAAUGGACGAGAGUCUGAACCAGCCAAGUAGCGUGAAGGAUGACUGCCCUAUGGGUUGUAAACUUCUUUUAUAUGGGAAUAAAAUGUUCCACGUGUGGGAUUUUGUAUGUACCAUAUGAAUAAGGAUCGGCUAACUCCGUGCCAGCAGCCGCAGUAAUACGGAGGAUCCGAGCGUUAUCCGGAUUUAUUGGGUUUAAAGGGCGCGUAGGUGGAUUGUUAAGUCAGUUGUGAAAGUUUGCGGCUCAACCGUAAAAUUGCAGUUGAAACUGGCAGUCUUGAGUACAGUAGAGGUGGGCGGAAUUCGUGGUGUAGCGGUGAAAUGCUUAGAUAUCACGAAGAACUCCGAUUGCGAAGGCAGCGCACUGGACUGCAACUGACACUGAGGCUCGAAAGUGUGGGUAUCAAACAGGAUUAGAUACCCCGGUAGUC